AAAAAAAACACAACAAUUAAAAUUAAUGAAAAUUAAUGAGGUUACAAUAAAUCAAAUAUUCUCUUGCAUUAGUUCUUAUAUUAGCUACAAGGCUGUCAUUACUAUAUUUUGACAGGCGUAAAGCAGCAUUAAACUAGUUAUAUACAUAUAUAUGUAGGUAUGUACAUGUUUUUUUUUUAAAUAAUUAAAGCAAAAGGGUUUCUUUCAAAUGAGGCUAGAUUACUGAGUUUUAUUACUUUGUUCAAUAAAGUAUUAUUUGCGCAAGAGACAGGGCGUGGAAGCGAUUGAUUAUUGGGUUGUGAUAUGCAAAUACAUGCAGAUUCAUACAUACAUAUACAUAUGUAUAUGGUACAUAUAUAGGUACAUAUGUGGCUGACAGGGGAAAGGACGCAUAUGCGAACGAAAAAAAGUUAAAUAUGAAUAUACAUAUGAAUUUGUCAUCUGUCAGACACGCGAAAAAAGCCACCAUACAGUCA